UAGUAUGGGGAUCUGCCCGAUAGAGGGGGAUAACUGCUGGAAACGGUGGCUAAUACCGCAUAAUGUCUACGGACCAAAGCAGGGGCUCUUCGGACCUUGCACUAUCGGAUGAACCCAUAUGGGAUUAGCUAGUAGGUGGGGUAAAGGCUCACCUAGGCGACGAUCUCUAGCUGGUCUGAGAGGAUGAUCAGCCACACUGGGACUGAGACACGGCCCAG
rnacentral:rRNA from 1 species